GGGAGUUUAGCUCAGUUGGUUUAGAGCAUCUGCCUUACAAGCAGAGGGUCGCGGGUUCGAAUCCCCCAACUCCCACUA
rnacentral:tRNA from 1 species